CCUGGGGAAUGUCUUUAAACAUGAAGAUCUGAGGACUUCAGAGAAAUAUUUCAAAGCUUAUAUAGCAAUGCCGCUUAAGUUGGAGAAACAUGACUUGAUGGAAUAGUUGAGCAUUUAACAAAGUAUUAUCAAGAUAAAGGCAAGCUGUGGGGCGGCCUGGUGCCCAAAAGGUACAAGGUGGAGCACAUGAGGCUCUCCAGCCUUCAGACAUCAAAAAGACAUUUCUGCCCUGGGUGGAACCAGUUUCUCCAGACUCAUAUCUUUCUCUCCUCCAUUCUGCUCUGCAGGUGAAAUCUAAGGGCACUCUUACCUAAACAGAUACUGAAUUACAAAUGAAAUCAAUUGUCCUUGGCAAAUCAAGGAGGUUAAGGGGAAAGAUAAACUCUGUUCUACAUCACCUCCCUGACAAGGCAGCAAGCCCGCGGAUAAGAGCAAUGGAGCACUGACGAGUGUAAUGAAAAUUCACAAGUUUGUUCUAGAAAUGACUGGAGGAGACACCACAGGCCCCGUGCUCCCAAGACAUCACCAAUUCUUCUAAGGGAUGCUUGGCCUCUGGGCACGUCUAAUUACCCUUCAAGCAUAAUGUGGUUAUAAAGAGCCUAAGCUGCUGUUGUAUAUGCCUCCCAAGUCUCCCCCCAUCACCUCUGGAGGUGGGGACUUAACCAGAGAACUCUCCCUUUGGAGUAUUUAUGGCCUCAAGGAGGCUGGCUUUAAAACUGAAAUGUUUCUGACACCUGAGCAUCUAGUACACGGAGAUGGGUCCUCUUUGUGUCUAAACUGUAUUUGUUCUAAGGACUCAAGUGUAUCCACACAGGUUUGGAGGGCAUGUGAGGUGGGACCACUAAGACAGAUUUGAUGGAGAUCUGGAAGUCUAAGCCACAACAUUGAUUCAAGGAUACUGGAGCAGUGUCACAGGUAGGGGAGUACCUUCCUUGAAGUAGCCCCUGAGUAUGUUUGAGAUGAAAGGGUGGAUAGAGACUCUCAUAGAAGAGCAAAUGAAAAGGUAAAAUUGCAUUAUUACACUCUCCAGGACACUUGGAGAGAACAAUUAGCCAACAGCAUUGGGGUCAGUAGAACCAGGAACUGGCACUCUCAGCACAAAUGUCAGCAGCCUCCAUAUUACAGAUCAGCUGAUUUCGUGAGGACAUUGGCAGGCUCCAGGCCCAAGGCAGUAGUGGCCAUGCCCUAGGAUAGUUAGGGAUUGAUUAGCACAAGGAGUCAAAGCAGAGCGAUGCCUUUUUCCCUUCUUCACUGGGAAAGAAAUGUAGAGUGUGUGUCCUCUUGUGUCCCCUUCGCUAAGACAAUAGGAUUUACUUGCAGAAUGUAUGUAAGAAACCUGCAGAGACAUCCCAAAAAGAUUCAGUAGGAAUUUGAGAGAGGUUGUCCUUCUUGCAGAGCAUUUGGUGCUGGUGCAACCUCUAAAAUCCAGGUCAAGUUAAAAACAAAAAGGCCGGGUG
rnacentral:lncRNA from 1 species